rnacentral:rRNA from 1 species
UAGCUAGUUGGUGGGGUAAGGGCCUACCAAGGCGACGAUCGGUAGCUGGUCUGAGAGGAUGAUCAGCCACACUGGAACUGAGACACGGUCCGGACUCCUACGGGAGGCAGCAGUGGGGAAUAUUGGACAAUGGGGGGAACCCUGAUCCAGCAAUGCCGCGUGUGUGAAGAAGGCCUGAGGGUUGUAAAGCACUUUCAGUGGGGAGGAGGUUUAGUUGGUUAAGAGCUGAUUGAAUGGACGUUACCCACAGAAGAAGCACCGGCUAACUCCGUGCCAGCAGCCGCGGUAAUACGGAGGGUGCGAGCGUUAAUCGGAAUUACUGGGCGUAAAGAGUGCGUAGGUGGUUGAUUAAGUUAUCUGUGAAAUUCCUGGGCUUAACCUGGGCUUGUCAGAUAAGACUGAUUGACUCGAGUAUGGGAGAGGGUAGUGGAAUUUCCGGUGUAGCGGUGAAAUGCGUAGAGAUCGGAAGGAACACCAGUGGCGAAGGCGGCUACCUGGCCUGAUACUGACACUGAGGCACGAAAGCGUGGGGAGCAAACAGGAUUAGAUACUCUGGUAGUCCACGCUGUAAACGAUGUCAACUAGCCGUUGGUUAUAUGAAUAUAAUGAGUGGCGA